UUUAUUGACAUAAAAUGUAUCCUUGGUAGAAAAGUAGGCCUACUGUCAUUAACAAUAAAGUCUAUAUUGAAUUGGAAUGCCUACAAUAUGUAGUUUUGACUAAAACUUUCUAUUAACAGAACAUUUCAAAAUUCGUUUCCAGCCAAUUAAUGAGUGUUAAUUUGAGACUGACAUUGAACCCACAGAGGAACUUGACACCGUUUUAGAAGCACCGAAAACAAAACAAUUAACGAGUCCUCCAGGCUGACCUGAGAACGGUUUUACUUGGCAACCCAAAUAAUUAACAAACGAUUAACGGGGAAACCAAACUCACCACAGACAGACAGGACCGCCAUGUCUUGAGUUCGUCGUGUGGCAGGGGUUAAAGUUGAACCUUCUCCGGCUCAGUGUGUUUGGGGUAAAUCACGCUGCACCUGCACGCGCCCAGACGCUUUUCUCUUCUUGUCAGCGCAAAAAACUCGACCAACAGCGUAAGUUCUCUCUACUGUUGACAGCGAAACGCACAAGUAAGCAUUCGAAUAUUAUGUGAGAUUUUAACGUGCAAUUACCCAAUGCAUUUCCCCUAAACAAAAGUGUUGUUUAUUUAUACAUUUAAGUGCCUAAUCUACGUGUUCUAAUGUGUAUUUCUAUUGUGAACUCUGUUUCAGCGUCUACAUGAUCCGGGCGACAAACUGCUGGAGAUUGUUUUCAGCGUGCACGAGGUCCUCUUUUGAAGGCAAGACGCAUCAGAAUUAUGACUCACCAGCAGAAGAAAUACUGAGGUUUGUAGCUAACUAGCAUGUUCAGCGUAAACAUUUGACAGUCUGUCUGAUAAAUGAAUGUUGUGCCUGUCAGAUGUUCACUUAAAUCGUUAAAAAUAAGAGGGAAAAGUAUCAAUAAAUUCUAAAAUACAUGUAAUGCA
ensembl:lncRNA